rnacentral:rRNA from 1 species
GAUGAACGCUGGCGGCGUGCCUAACACAUGCAAGUCGAACGGAGAUUACGGACGGAAGUUUUCGGAUGGAAGACUGUAAUUCUUAGUGGCGGACGGGUGAGUAACGCGUGGGCAACCUGCCCUAUACAGGGGGAUAGCAGCUGGAAACGGCUGGUAAGACCGCAUAAGUCGGCGAGACCGCAUGGUUUUGCCGGGAAAUGAGCAAUCAGGUAUAGGAUGGGCCCGCGUCCGAUUAGCCAGUUGGCAGGGUAAAAGCCUACCAAAGCAACGAUCGGUAGCCGGAAUGAGAGGUCGGACGGCCACAUUGGGACUGAGACACGGCCCAAACUCCUACGGGAGGCAGCAGUGGGGGAUAUUGCACAAUGGAGGAAACUCUGAUGCAGCGACGCCGCGUGAGUGAAGAAGUAUUUCGGUAUGUAAAGCUCUAUCAGCAGGGAAGAUGAUGACGGUACCUGACUAAGAAGCCCCGGCUAACUACGUG